CCUACGGGGGGCUGCAGUGGGGAAUAUUGGACAAUGGGGGGAACCCUGAUCCAGCCAUGCCGCGUGUGUGAAGAAGGCCCUCGGGUUGUAAAGCACUUUCAGUGAGGAAGAACGCCUGGUGGUUAAUACCCAUCAGGAAAGACAUCACUCACAGAAGAAGCACCGGCUAACUCCGUGCCAGCAGCCGCGGUAAUACGGAGGGUGCGAGCGUUAAUCGGAAUUACUGGGCGUAAAGCGCGCGUAGGUGGCUUGAUAAGCCGGUUGUGAAAGCCCCGGGCUCAACCUGGGAACGGCAUCCGGAACUGUCAAGCUAGAGUGCAGGAGAGGAAGGUAGAAUUCCCGGUGUAGGGGUGAAAUGCGUAGAGAUCGGGAGGAAUACCAGUGGCGAAGGCGGCCUUCUGGACUGACACUGACACUGAGGUGCGAAAGCGUGGGUAGCAAACAGGAUUAGAUACCCGAGUAGUC
rnacentral:rRNA from 1 species